GAUUGUUUAUCUAUUUAUUUAUUUGUAUGUAUUAAUAAAUCAAUCAGUGGCGCUGACGUCAUCGUAAGGCGCGAUCCCAAGGUCCAGUGCGAUUUUCCACUUGGUAAGUAGAGCAGUUAAUUAAUACAGAUGGGAACAAUCCAUAUAUUUAUGGAACAAAAACCGUUUAAUUGGGUCAAGACGUUGUGUUUAGAACCUUUAGAGUUGCAAGGUAUCAGUUUAUGCAGUAAAUGACAGCAGUCAUUACAAAAUAUAACUUGCUGCACCACGUGUGCAAUAGUCUAACGUUAGCUGAGUUAGCUAAUUAAAUUCAAGCUUGUGUAUUUUUUCACAUACAAUCAUGCAAGGCAAGGUAAUAUAGGAGAUUGUAUGGUUUUUCGUUAUUAUAUGUGAUCGGUUACCCAUAUUAAGUUAGCUCGAUCACAACACUUUAGCCAUUUAUAAAUGUUCAGAUCAAGUUGCCAGAUUGGUGUGUUUUCCAGUAAUUGUUCAAAAUCCACAAUCCAAAAUUAUAAACACACACAUCUACUACAGUAUUGUGGCUCAUCAAAUGGCAUGUAAUAAAGGAAAUUAAGUGCUCUCUAAAGAAGGCUACAUUGUAAGGCUACGUGUCUGUCAUUUGCCUUAAAGAAAUAAAAGGGAACAACAGAAAUAUCAAAAUGCCACCUGUCUAAAGCUAUUUUAUUCCACCUAGUACAAACUAAUAUCUAAUUGAAAACUGACCAAUCUGCCAACACCGAUGGAAAAAAAAUACUGGUAAAAAUGUAAGGAGUUCAUUUGUUCUCUCUCUCUAUCUCUUUCUUUUUUUAUCAGGUCCUUCAAAUUCUCCCCUCCUUUAUUUUAACCUCCCUCAACACAAACAUACACACACACACACACACAAACCAAAGGCACUUUUAAGAGCCACGUCCGUCUUGUUACCCUGCACUUGUCUGUCUGUAGCUCGCUCUCUCUCUCUCUCUCUCUCUCUCUCUCUCUGUUUAUAUUUCUAUUUGUUGUCUCUGUCCAUCUUUUUUGUAAGUCUUUCUGUCUGUUUUUGUUUCUGCCCAUCACCAUGAGUGAUUCAGAACUCCAAGAACAGUUAAUGGAGCUGGAUAAACUGGUUGAUGAUCAAGAACUCAAUGAUGAGCUCCAAAGUCUUGAUGACUUGAUUGGUGAGCUGCAGGAAGAGAAGGAAGUGGCACCAGUAAAGACACCUGAACCGAGGGUGCGUUGGAGAAAGAGAGACAUUGAUGGAAACAUUGUCUAUGCAAGGCCAAGAUCAAGCAGGAAUCAGUCAAAUAAGGCUGAUCCCAUUCGGAAAUCUGAUCCUCCCAUCAAUGCACCUGCCACUAACUGUGAGGUGACCUUUGCUCCAGAAGCUGUUGGUGUGUACUUCAUUGUGUAAAUAACAAAUAACAUUUUUAAAAUUUUCAGGAAUACUGGCCUUUUCACAGUCAAAUGCACUUGAUGCAGAACACUUUCAUGUAUAUAUUAAAGUAUUGCUUUUAAAUAUUCCAUACUAUUUUAACAGAGUCUUUUCUGCAAGAUCUCCAGCACUCACUGAGCAAUACCUCAGAUGAUGAGGCAUCAUCUCUUGAGACCUCAAGAGGUCCUCUCCUAGCUUCCUCAAACUGGAGCACAAGACAAAGUCUCUUUUCAGAGAGAUGGAGGACAGAGAGACCACGUCUGGUGAACACCGCUGCGGCACAUGAAAAUGUAGCAACACGCAUCUGCCAACAGUGUGGGAGCAAUCCAGCUGCUGUCCGCUGCAGUGACUGUCGACCACAGCCCUUUUUCUGUGCUCAGUGUGAUGUCAGUAUGCACACCAGACAUGUUCUCCAUAACAGAGAUGCCAUGACGGCUGGAUUCUACCAGCCAUUGCCUCCAACAACUUUUGUUGUAGAUAAGGCUCUUUCCCAUUGUGUACGGCUUGUACCUGUGGAGAUCCCUUACAAAAUCUGUGAUUGUUCACGAGAGUCACUAAGGGUCAGUCCAGGGAAGACUGUUGCUGUAAUCACAAUGAAUGG